ACAAACAUGUGGUUUGAUGACAGCAGUUGUAGAUUGGUGUUUAUGUCAUUUUCUAAAGUAAUCAGUGUUUUUUUUUCAUUGUCAGAAAGUGAUCCUGCUGCCGUUUACUCAGCAGUGAGAACAGAGGACAUUAAUUAUGGACAGAUAGUCAUCAAAAGCAAGAAACAAAAGACAAAAUCAGGAAGUGAUCCGGCUGCAGUUUACUCAUCUGUCAGGACAGAAGAUGUCAGUUACAGUCAGCUGCUGACCAGGGAAGACAGGAACAGAGAUUUUUCACCUGAGCUGGAUGUUUAUUCCCAACUGAAGUAGAACUGUGGAUGCUUUGCUUUGGUCCGUUGACUGCUUCACUCAGACGAGUACAGAACAGUCUAUAUGUAACUUUAUUAUUAUUAGUUUUUUUAAAUAUUGGGUCAAACUUUGUUUUACAGUAACAGAUGGGUUCCUGUGGACCCGACACCUUGAUUUAAUUUUUUUUCCCUGUUCAUUGUUCUGUGGACUCCUCACAGGACAGAUGGAGAAUCUGAGCCACUCUGGUUUGUUUGUGGAUAACCAGCUAACAGACAGCCUUAACCCACAACCUCAA